GGAUUGGGUCCCAGGUCUGCUGGGAUCUUUUUGGUAACCGCAGACAGGUCAUGUUGCCUGCUGCAGCAGGCAGCGUGCCUUCUUAUUUGCAAACCUUAGGGAAAACUGCCUGACCUACCUAGAGUUGCGGGUAAGGCCGUGUGCAAACAGGCCUGUAUGGGGUGUGGUGGGUCACGGGGGCUGUUGGGGAGGAGGGCCGGUGGCAGACAGCCUGGUCCUGAGGCCUGAGCUCCAUCCCUGUUCUGCCACAGUGGCCAGGCUGUGAGGAAGGUCCCAAUGCCGGGGCUGCCCCGCCAUGCCUGGCAUUCACUGUGCCAUCUCUGUCGUGCAGGGCCGAGAACUACUGGUGGCGUGGCCAGAACACGCGGACGCUGUGUGUGGGGCCCUUCCCUCGCAACGUGGUGACCUCCGUGGCCGGCCUGUCGGCCCAGGACAUCAGCCAGCCCCUGCAGAACAGCUUCAUCCACACGGGGCAUGGCGACAGUGACCCCCGCCACUGCUGGGGCUUCCCGGACAGGAUUGACGAGACACUCCCCAGCUGAGAUGUGCGGUCAGGUUCUGUCGACUGGGAGGCGGGAGGCCUACACCCAGUUUCCUCCAGGAGGAAGGGGUUCUGAUGAGAUUCUGCCACCCCUCCACACGCUUCCCCUGCCCUCUUGACCUGGCUCUGUCCCCCACAGACUGUAUCUGGGAAACCCCCUGGACCCCCCCGA
rnacentral:sRNA from 1 species